CUCCCCAUUUAAUAUAGUAUGAUGCAACUCACGCCCUUACUUCCCACUCUCCCAUAAAAAUGUCUCUUCUCCUUUCUCUCCUUCCCAUCUUUUAAUACUUUCUUCUCUCUCUUUUUUUACUAUCUAGAUAUUCUGGUAGAGUGGUAGGCAUGGCCAAGAGCUUCAUAUCCUUUAUUUUUGCUCUCCUUUUACUCUCAUGUUUGGAAGAUGUUCACGGUUCAAGACUUCUUCAUGGAGAAAAUGCACCACAAAGUUCCAAUGAAUCGAGCACCAUAUUAGAUGGUUGCACUAGUAUGGACGGAGAAGAUUGCUUGUUGGACAAGUCUAUGGUAGAUCAUACGGACUAUAUUUACACUCAAGAUAUUAAAGUUCCAUGAAUGUAGUCUCCACUUUCUUCUUUUCAUGAAUUUGUUUUUGUGAGAUA